rnacentral:rRNA from 1 species
CGCUCGUAGUUGGAUCACGCAACAGUGUACUNGGGUAAUCUAUUCAUUUGGGACUGGAAUUUUUCGAGUGUUCAUCCGGAAAGAUGACGCGUCAAAGUCUAGACUUGUGAUAGAUAUAAAAGCCGGCCACUGUUAAUUGCACAGUGAAGAUGGAUUGUUGACCUUUAGUGAGUCGGUAAUCCUUGUCUUGCGGAGUGUGCCUUGAAUAAAACAGAGUGCUUAAAGCAGGUUUACGCCUGAAUGUUAUAGCAUGGAACGAACAAAUAGUGUAUUAGUACAUGGUUUUCGGCAGCGAUAGAUCUAUGGUUUGUCGUUGUUGGGGACGUGUACAUCACCCACCAAAAUAUGGCUGUUGGUUCCAUAUACGGUGAUGAUUAAAAGGAGCGGUUGGGGGCAUCGGUAUUUGGCCGCGAGAGGUGAAAUUCUUGGACCUGGCCAAGGACUAACAAAUGCAAAGGCACUUGUCUAGACCGUUUCCAUUAAUCAAUAACGAAAGUGGGAGGUUCGAAGACCAUCAGAUACCGUCCUAGUUCCCACUGUCAACUAUUGCCGACCUGGCAUCAGUGUUAGAGAUGCCUCAAACUUCUAAAUUGGGCCCCCUGGGAACCCUCAUAGUUUUUCGGGUACCCCGAAGAAUGUACGCCCGCAAGGCUUAAACUUCUCACGAAAUUUAUGGGGANCGGGGACCACCCAGGCCUCGUAGUCAUU